rnacentral:lncRNA from 1 species
AGAAAUGUGAACAGUGGAUUGAUUGUUGAUGACAUUGAAAGUUUUAUGAAUUUUAUUAAUUUAAUGAAAUCUAUUAAAAUUUAUAAAUUUUAUUAAUUUUAACCAAUAUUAACAAUGGUAUUAUAGUUUUCAUUUUAAAUAGAAAAUCGAUUUUCUAUCUUAUCAACUUUUCCCACCAAAGAGAACACGUUAAUAUUUUGUAUGCCAUCAGCAGAAUAAUAGAUGUUGAAUUUGCUGAAAGAAAAGAACUCUAUCUGCAAAACAAGCCUACCAUCACUUUAUGAAAUCACUGAUCAUAUUUUAAAACAUGAGGCUUCUCUUUAUCUUUUAGAAACAUAUACUAAAAUAUUUGGAGGUAAAACGAUAUGAAAUCUGAGAUUUGUUUCAAACCAACACUGAGGAAAGGAAUGGAAAAUAAGAUGAAUCAGAUUGGCCACAAAAUAACCAUCACUGAAACUAGAAAAUGAAUACAUGGGGGUACAUUGUACUUCACUCUCUACUUUUACACGUUUCAAAUUUUCUUUAGUAAAAAAUUUCUAAACUCUAUACUUCCCACUAAUAAACAGCCACAAUUUAUGGAACACGUAACAUGAAUUUUAUUUGACGUUGACAACAACUUUGUGAGUGAGGUACUAUAACCAUCAUCUCUAUUUUAGCGAUAAGGAAACUCAGGCUUAGAGUCGGUAAUUGACAUACUGAAGGUCCCACAGCAGGAACAAAGAUUCAAUUCACCCUAUUAACCUGGGUUUUCUAAAGACUGUAUACUGGUGCCGAGUUAUGUGUCUAAGCUGGUAUGAAAUGAGAACAGAAGCAGUCCUGGGGGACAGUUGGCAUCUGGGUUUCAGCCAUUUAAAAAAUUUAAAAUCUCCAAAAUACACAACAAAAAUAAUUGAGAACACAACAGUGUGACCAAGCCAGGCCAAGGAAAAUGUAUCACUACUUCUAUUCACAAUAAAAAGCCUAUUUGAACCAACACAUUAUCCCCCCAAAAAAAAGUAUUACCAAGCCUUUCAGGGAAUGAAAAAGCAGGCAUAAUACUUGUAGACAGGCAAAAGGACAUAUGGUCCUUAAGGGAAUAUGAAUUUGAAUAGAAAAAUUUGAACAAUGGAGAACAGUCUGCUUCUCAGAUCCCCUGAUGGAUGAAGUUUGGUCCAUUUCCAAUAGCAAUCAGAAGAUGCUGGCACUACCCCAGCUGGCCUGCCUGUGAGACCAUCUGGAAGAAAGAAAACUGUUGGCCACACACUGGUCAGGCUGACACCAGCCCUGGAUUAGUGGUCCAUUUUUAUAGUACCUGGGAACUACUAGUCAGGCUAAAGUCACCCACAACUUCAAAGGAAUUAAAGUGUCUCAUUGAGAUAUUAAAGAAACAGAAUGAAUCAAAAUUAGAAUAAGCUAUUACUAAGUUUUUAAAAAUUGGUCAGGAGUUUACUCUUCAUCUAAUUUAAGGCCAAUAUUAUCUUUUUCCCCUGAAUGAAACUCAGGAAGGUUAUCUUUAAGAUUCUGCUCGUAUCUAAUGACCCAGACAUUAAGUCUUCGAUUUGAACAUACAGCUUUGAGGUUGAAAACUGUUAUCUCCCCUAAACAUUCUGUUCUGGGAGGAAAUAGCUUUUUCCACAGCAAGAAACUGGCCUAGUUCUUUACUCGUUUCUAAGAAACAAAGAUACAGUAUUCACAAAGAUUCCUCAGACACCAGAGAUAAAAUACUUGCUUAUAAAGAGGUGAUUUUUAGGUCUUGUUAGAUUCAUGGAGAAAGUGCGUGCAGUAUAGAUUUUCAAUAGCCAUUUCCCCAUCAUGAAGGAUCUACAACUAGUCAUUUUAUCACAGUUUUACUGAAUUUCAAGCCUGUCACAUAGUAACAAAAGGUAAAAAAUUAAGAGUAGAGAAAAUUCAGAAUCAAUUGCUGAUUAAUUCACACUCUUUGUGAAAAAUAAAAACCUUAGAGGGAUAAAACCAUACAUAAAUUCUCUAAUAAUAUCCAAAGGGAUUUAAAAAGAAAGAACAAUGAAAAACUGAAAAUAUCUAUAGUAACAUAAAUGUAGGUAAUUUGACAUCUAAAAUUGUUGUAGUACUAUUAUAUAUAGAAUGGAUAAACAACAAAAAUCCUACUGUAUAGCCCAGGGAACUACAUUCGAUAUCCUGGAAUAAACCAUAAUGGAAAAGAGUGUGUGUGUGUGUGUGUGUGUGUGUGUGUGUGUGUGUGUGUGUCUGAAUCACUUUGCUCUAAGCAGAAAUUAACACAACAUUGUAAAUCAACUAUACCUCGAUUCAAAAACAAAUAAAAUUUACCUUCACGUCAAAAAAUUGUAGAUUUUUCUCUUACUGUUUUCCACAAAAAGAGUAGGAGCCAUAAAAGAUGCAGGUUCGAUCCCUGGCCUCACUCAGUGGGUUAAGAAUCCAGCGUUGCCGUGAGCUGUGGUGUAGGGCACAGACACGGCUCGGAUCCCACAUUGCUGUGGCUGUGGUAUAGGCCAGCAGCUACAACUCCAAUUAGACCUCUAGGCUGGGAAUCUCCAUAUGCAGUAGGUACAGCCCUAAAAAGACAAAAAGACAAGAAAAAAAAAAAAAAUCAGGCCCUGAUCUGUAGCAUUUGCAGGUUUUGUGGUCUGAAUUCCUGGGAGUACAUGGCCAAUUUCAAGCUACCAAUGUGACAUCCUGUACAGACAACAGAGCUGAGUUGGAAAGAGACAUGCAAUAGCAGCAUACUGUUACCUAAUUCUCUUCCACAUGAACAUAACAGACAUAAAUAGCCUCAAAAGCAUAAGUAACAGGAUAAUGUAGUAAAAUAACUAUGGAGUGAGAACAAGGUCCUUUCAUAUAGCACAGGGAAUUAUAUUCAAUACCCUGAAAUAAACCAUAAGAGAAAAAAAUACAUAAAUAUUUUAUAAAUAUUUAAAAGAUAAAAAAUAACUGGCGAGGGAGUUAUAUUACGUUUGUUUUACUAUAAUUUAAUUAUAUGUGAAUAUAAUUAAGUUUUUGGUAUUGGCUGUGUUUAACAACCAUCUCACAAAAUUCUUGAAAUUUUAACAAUUGGUAUGCACACAGCACUGCCUGAACCCAGCAAGGAUUGGAGAAAGAACAAACUGAAGAUAGGGGAGGAUCUCAAGGGAGAAGCCUUUUCUUAUCGGUCUUGGGACAAAGAGGGCUUGGUCAUGGAAGAAGUUGAUGACAAUGGGACAGAAGCCCAAUGACACCAAGUGUAGCUCCCAGGAAUUCUUCUCCAUCAACACCACAACUAUGCAAUGAGCCUCUCCUGGCUUCUCCAGAUUUGAGAAAAUGCUGUCUGUGUAGAUAAACAGCUAUUUCUAAAAAUCAUUCCCUCCCAGCCUCUUCUCCUCAAUGUUUUGCUCUCCCUAAAAUGCUUGAAUUGUGAUAUUUUAAAAUACGGCAUGGACUUCAAACACAAUCUCCAACAUCUCUCUACCAGUUUAUUGAAAUCUCUUUAGCAGCAGAAAAAAAUCCUUUUGAGUGCCUGUCGUGGCUCAGUGGAAACGAAUCUGACCAGCAUCCAUGAGGACACCGAUUUGAUCCCUGGCCUCGCUCAGUGGGUUAAGGAUCCAAGUGUUGCCAUGAGCUCUGAUGUAGGUGGCAGAUGCAGCUCAGAUCUGGUGUGGCUGUGACUGUGGCAUAGGCCAGUGGCUACAGCUCUGAUUCAGCCCGUAGCCUGGGAACCUCCAUAUACUGCAGGUACAGCCAUA